AUUGAACGCUGGCGGCAAGCCUAACACAUGCAAGUCGAACGAGUGGCGGACGGGUGAGUAAUGUCUGGGAAACUGCCUGAUGGAGGGGGAUAACUACUGGAAACGGUAGCUAAUACCGCAUACCAUCGGAUGUGCCCAGAUGGGAUUAGCUAGUUGGUGGGGUAACGGCUCACAAAGGCGACGAUCACUAGCUGGGCUGAGAGGAUGACCAGACACACUGGAACUGAGAAACGGUCCAGAAUCCUACGGGAGGCAGCAGUGGGGAAGAUUGCACAAUGGGCGAAAGCCGGAUGCAGCAAUGCCGCGUGUAUGAAGAAGGCCUUCGGGUUGUAAAGUACUUUCAGCGGGGAGGCGUUACCCGAAGAAAAAGCACCGGCUAACUCCGUGCCAGCAGCCGCGGUAAUAC
rnacentral:rRNA from 1 species